rnacentral:rRNA from 1 species
UGGGGAAUAUUGCACAAUGGGGGAAACCCUGAUGCAGCGACGCCGCGUGAGUGAAGAAGUAUUUCGGUACGUAAAGCUCUAUCAGCAGGAAAGAAAAUGACGGUACCUGACUAAGAAGCCCCGGCUAACUACGUG